AUAUGACUGGGGCUACUGUGACCUCAUGUUGGUAUCUGCAGGGCCUGGUAGUUAGGCAAAGCUGACACUUGUGGGAGGCAGUUGCAAAGGUUAUAGGAAUCUCCAACACAGUCACCUGAACACGAGGGUGACCAUAUGCCCUGGUUGCCGGGCUAGUUUCAGUUUAAGCCUAUUGCUCUAGCAAAUACCUUAAUAGCAUUGCCUUUCUUGGGAUGCCUGGUUCAGUGGUUGAGUGUCUCCCUUGCUUCAGGUUGUGAUCCCGGGGUCCUGGGAUCCAGUCCUCCAUCGGGCUCCUAGCAGGGAGCCUGCUUCUCCCUCUGCCUGUGUCUCUGCUUCUCUCUGUGUGCCUCUCAUGAAUGAAUAAAUAAAUGAAUCUUUCUAAAAAAUAAAUAAAUAAAGGUUGCAGGUGGGUGAGAAUUAAUCCUGGCAGAUCUGGGCUUUACUAUUUCUUUGUAUGUCUGGAAUAGUGAUCCAACUGCAUAUUCUUUUAUAAUGUGGAAUUAUUUAGCACCUAUUGUAAUAUUCUCAGACUUUAGGGACUCUGCCCAUCUCCUAAGCAACAAGAAGAAUUGAAUUUCACAUGUAGUUAUGCAUGAUGUAAUAAAGAAGGGGGAACAAAAGACACUCAGGCCUACUAAAUCUUACAAAAAGGUUAUUCUUGUAACAGGCUGUGACCCAAAGCCACAUCAGCUUCCAGAAAUGCUAUGUUGACGAAGCAGGGAAGGAGCUGGGCAAGAGCAGAUUUAGCCAAGAUGUCCCCUCCAUGAAGAAGAGGGAACAGAUUCUAUCAGGCUGCCUCAUCAGCUUCUUUGCUUUCCUUCUCAAAGAUACCAAUGCAUGCAGAAUGUGAAAAUCUGAAUCAUGCCCAUGGCAUUCCAUGCUCUGGACCAAAAGGCAGUGUCAGCUGAAGGGAAGAGCAGGAGUUUGGAUUAGCCCAGCUGCCAACCAGCCUUCAGGAAAGAGCCCGUGCAUCCUCUUCUACCCUACGUGUUCUGAACUUAUCCCAGAUAAGAAAGUCAGAGGAUCUCCAAGAACAACAAAGGCCUAGAACUGGUGGCUCUGGGUUCACAAAUAGACAACUGUGAUUUGCAUCCUUAACAUUCAUUCUCCCUUCUUCUGCCAAAAGUCCCAACUUUUUGUCAGAGGACCCACCUCUCCUUCAAUCAAAGCAUUCUAUUCUCUGGCCACAAUGAGCAUAUGAUACAAUGGCAAUGAAAUGAAAUGGGACUUUUGCUGAGACUUCUGGGAAAGUGACCUGAUGUCUUUUCUCCCCAAGGUUGAAGGGGGGAAGAAGUGAGGCCUGGAGCUUUGUAGUCAUGACAACCCCAAAGGGAAAGCCCCUGAGAAUGGAGCCUGAUGAAGGCAAGCAGAGCCAGGGUGUGCACAGAGAGAAUGGGAGUGUGAUGACAGCAAUGUGGUAAAAGUAGUCCCUGGAGACUGGGACUGUUGUAUCAGUAAUAAAUUAUUUUUGCUUACACCCUUUAGGGUCGGA
rnacentral:lncRNA from 12 species